rnacentral:lncRNA from 1 species
AAACGUAUCUGCACAAUAAGAAAAAGAAAAGCAAAAUCUUACAUAUCACCAAUCCUGUAACAGUCUUCUGAACAAGUGAUAGUUUCUUCUUUUUUCCCCCCUUGUAAAAGUGAUCACCUGUAACCUACCAAAAUCUCUGCAGGUCCCUUGUGGGCUCCCCCAAAGCCCCAAGCACUGACAGUCAGUGUGCCUGGCAAAGGUGCUGUGCUGCAGGCUCCAAAUACCAAAUACCACGUGAGGAACGGACAAGGAUGCCAGCGUGCACAGAUGCAGUUCCCAUGCCCUGGAACAAAGAAAACAAGUCGUUAGUAUGCACCACGCAGCACCAAAGGCUGAGCCCGCUGCUAGUAAGUGCUAUGCAGAGGGUUCAGGUCAUGGUUUUGCUAAAUUCUGUGCUCUUGGUACACCUGGGAAACGCACCACCAAAAUGCAGCUCAGCUCACAUAGCCGUCUAAGUGCAGCAUGUUGUAACUGAGGUGCUGGGGCAGGUGCCUCUGAGCCAUCAGUGAGGUAUCUGCCCCUCCAUGUCAAGUGGUUUGUUACGACUGGAAAGUGCAAGGAAGUCUUCAUGGGGCUGGUAGGCUUCCAUUGCACCUGCUCUGCUGCUGGGACAGGGGUCUUGGGGCAGGAUCCAACGCCUUAGCGCUGGUGGUUCACAGUGGUCCAUAACAGUUCCCAGUAAGUGCCUGAAUGCUACGGCAUGCAGCAGAGGGACAAAUAGGAGGUGUUAGAGGUCCUGGGCUGGGAUCACAGCAACAAGAUGCACUAGCUCGGGGCAGUGGGUCAGCUGCCAUGGAUGGAACCAGCUCUUCAGGAAGGAUGGGCCAGGACAUCAAGGAGAGAGAGCAACUGAGGUGCAUGGAGCUGUGCCUUGGGACAUACGAUGGGCCAGCUGGAAGUUAUGGGUCACAAUUAGAGGGCGGCUUAUGGUAGGUGACAUGAUGGUGGGUGUCUGCUACAGGCCACUUUAUCAGGAAGAAGUAGACAAGGCAAAAAAAUGGAAGAAGCCUCAUGCUCACAGGCCAUCAAGGGUCAGAGCACUGAAGUUACACCAAGCACUGCUAAUGAAGUAGCAGAACACAUAAAUACACCACAAAAUGCUCCUGGUAGAUCCUGGCUUGGCUCUAUCUACCUUAAAAGGUGGCUCUCAUCCACUGCAUAAGCAUUCUGUUGCCUCUGAGAGGAUGGUGUGCACUACCUGUAUAGCAUAGAUCUCUUCAGCAGUCUCCAAGAGGGGUUUUUUGUUUUCUUGCAUCCUAUCACAAUGUUCUGCAGCAGAAAGCAGGUUUCUGGCCUCUCCAGCCUUAUACUGCUGAUCACAGUUUGAUGCCCUGAAUGUGUGAUGUAUGCAAACAGGACACGCUGACCGCAAAUUCUGGGAAAGUGUUUCUUUUCAUAGGGGCAAAAACAAGGCUGUAUGUGUAGGAGGUGUGUGUGCAUACACCUGCAAAAGUUCCCCCAUGUUUCCAGGGUAUAUAGUACUCUAUUUCAAAAGCCUUCACCUGCCAUAUAUCCUCAUAUGUCUGAAUAGAAAGAAAGGGGAUUGAAAAAACUUUGUUAGCUACUAUAAAAGGAAAAAAUUACUGUAAUAACAUAGAUGUUUCACUCCUUGAGUGAAGGAGGCCUUCAGGAUGGAGAUACUCACCUGUAAGACAAUACAUUUUCACUGGUGAUAAAAGACAAGGUUGGAGCUUAAUGGGGAAUAGUAGUACCCCCAAUACCAUGCUUCCCCAUUCCCACCUCUGCGGCAGGAAUUUCUUUGAUUUUGUUACAGCCAGAGUCCUCUAUAUCACAGAAGAUGGCAGGCAGAGCCAGUUGUGCCUCAGUAUAGGAACAGCCUUUACAUGCUUUUACGGAGAUGUGCUAGUUCCCUCAGGAUCUCUGAAAAGAUCACGCAGCAAUCAAAGUCCUAUGGUAUGUUCUAGGGAUGCGGAACUAUUUCUAGAGAAUUUGAUGGAGGAAUUUUAAUAUAUUGGGAACAGCCUAUAACUUCAAACAGAAAUUAGGACCUUUAGUUUUCUUUAAACUGUAUAGCAAACUGCUCAGAUUCAGUGAGUGCCUUGGGGUCUUGCCUCACAACACUCUUACCCACACCUACAUAAUACCAAUGCUUUGCUUAUUCUGUACUUCAGUAACUUAAUUACAUGAUGAAUUCUCCCAUGCUGCAAAUUCUAUCUUCAUUGAGCUAACUCUGAUAAAGGCAAGGCAGAUCCAGUCUAUCCAAUCUGCAAGUGGUAGCCUCAGAAGACAGGGAUACAGCACAUCUAUUACUCUGCCUUCCAGGAGCUUUGGCCUCAACAAACACAUUUGAGGGACCUAGCUGUGGUAUCCUGGCUGCCUAUCACAGCUCAUCUACUUGGAUGACAUUUUACCUAUUAGCAAGGUAAUAUACUACUUUCAGGAGAUGCCAGAAAAGGAUGGGUUUAGAUCUGCAACUAGCUAAGCUCUGUUAAAAUGGCUUUCUUCUGACACUGAACAAUUUCAUAAAGCAUCUUGAUUUUCUCUGUAUAAAAGUGACUCAUGAUCAGACACUCCCUUGUAUGGAAACCAAACAAUUUGUCUUCCAACAUCAGCAAAAACAAGUAUAUAUUUCUAAGGAGACUGUCCUCUUUGGAGGCUGCUCUGAUAUUGAUGACAUUAAGGAAUCUCUGUUUCACUUGCUAGUUACACUUGGGGCAAUGACCAUCUUCUUCUGUGUUUUCCAAUGUCUAGAACAAGGGGCAUCUGAGCCAUAGCCAAGGUUACUUGGCACUGGGCACUGCACUGUAGUACUGCAGUAAGUGUCAAAAAAGCCUGGCACUUUGUUUUGUUGGCAGUUUCAAAGCC